rnacentral:rRNA from 1 species
GACGAACGCUGGCGGCGUGCUUAACACAUGCAAGUCGAACGGAAAGGCCCUGCUUGCAGGGUACUCGAGUGGCGAACGGGUGAGUAACACGUGGGUGAUCUGCCCUGCACUUCGGGAUAAGCCUGGGAAACUGGGUCUAAUACCGGAUAGGAGCCAUUUUUAGUGUGAUGGUUGGAAAGUUUUUUCGGUGUAGGAUGAGCUCGCGGCCUAUCAGCUUGUUGGUGGGGUAAUGGCCUACCAAGGCGGCGACGGGUAGCCGGCCUGAGAGGGUGGACGGCCACAUUGGGACUGAGAUACGGCCCAGACUCCUACGGGAGGCAGCAGUGGGGAAUAUUGCACAAUGGGCGCCAGCCUGAUGCAGCGACGCCGCGUGGGGGAUGACGGCCUUCGGGUUGUAAACUCCUUUCGCUAGGGACGAAGCUUUUUGUGAAGGUACCUAGAUAAGAAGCACCGGCUAACUACGUG